AUGCCGCGUGCCUCCGUCCGCCCGCCGCCGUCGGAGCAGGGCCCGAGCUCCUCCCCCUCCACCCCGGCGGCGGAUUCCUCCGUCGCGGCCCUCAUCGACCGCGCCACCUCCACCACGGCCCCCUCCGUCGACCCCGCGCUCCUCCGCGCCAUCAAGUCCUCGGCGCGCGCCUCCCACGGCGCCGUCCGCGACGCCUUCCGCCUCCUCCUCUCCCUCAUGGCCAAGCCCCACUCCCACGUGCGGCUCCUGGCCUUCAGCAUCGUGGACGAGCUCUUCAUGCGCUCCAAGCUCUUCCGCUCCCUCCUCGCCGACGCGCUCGACGGAUUCGUCCCGCUGGCCGUCGGCUUCCGCACCAACGAGCAGCUCCCGCCGCCCGCCGCCUCGGCGGCCACGCUCCGGAAGGCCGCCAUCCAGGCGCUCGAGCGCUGGCACCACCUCUUCGGCGUGCACUACCGCCAGCUACGUCUCGCGGUCGAGUACCUCAAGUCGUCCGCGCGCAUCCAGUUCCCUGGUCUCCGCGCGGCCGUCGAGGCCCGUGCCGCGCGGGAGGCACGCACGCAGGAGAUCUUGACUGCCAAGGUCGAACAGUUGCGGUCCACGAUUGAAUCCAUAAAGGCUGAAAUCCGGUCCACCAUCCAAGAGAUCCGCAACGGGCUGGACAUCAUCCGGGCUGAGUAUGAGAAAUUCGAGCGUUAUGUGGACGAUGACGAGGAGGAGGAGAUUGCUUCUAUGGCGAUGCGGAGUAUCAGGACAGCAUCGUUGAUGGCCGGGCAGUGGGUGCCUGAAACUCAGGAAAACGAGGCGGUUUUUGAUGCAUUGAGGGAGGCGUACCGGCUCCUUGUAUCGAAGCAUUUCAGCACCAUUCAGGAUUGGAUAUCUGUGCUUGUUAGGGUCAAUCUUGCAGAUAAUCGCUUCAGAGAUUCUGCGCUCAAGGAAUUUAUCGAUGUUAAGAAUGAAAUACGCGCUGUAAGAGGCCAGUGCAAUGAGCUUGGUCUUGAUCUUGAUAAUGUUCGUAGGAAGAAGGAUGUUCAGGAGGAAGAUGAAGAGGAUUGGGUGGAGGGAAAGAUUGAAGUUCCUAGUCCUCCUAGAGUUGUGAGCACUCUAGAUGUUGCAGGUUCCAGCAAGGACAAUAGGAAGGGAAAGAGGAUUCUGAAUGGAGCCAAUGGUGACAUGCCAAUUUGUGGUAAUAGAUCUCAGGAGAUGGAUCCGGAGAGAAAAAAGCUCCUUUCCGAAGCCCCUUUGGUGUCAUGGAGCUCUGUCUUGGAUCGGUGGGGUUCAAAUAUGGAUGCACAUGUGAACCAGAGAGGGCUUGAGCUCGAGAGCCAUUGGGGGAGGAUGGAUAAUGAUGCUGUUAUACCUGCAGCAAAGAUUGCAGAGUUAAACGUUCACCAUUCUGUUUAUAAAGAAGAGCCAGUUGAGAUACUACCAUGUCAUGCACCUCUGAAGAAAGGAGGUCUUUGCCAGAGAAGGGAUCUCAAGAUAUGCCCUUUUCAUGGGCCCAUCAUCCCACGUGAUGCAAGAGGAAAUCCAAUUGGGAAAAUUAGUGGCAGUUCUGAUGCGGGAGGCGAUCCACUUGAGCAGAAAGUAGAAAUUCGUGAGGCAGGAGGAAAUCUGAUAAAGACAAAUGGAGGUAGUGAUAGUGAAAGUACACAGGAGGAUCAGGAGCCCUCUACUUCAAUGAUGACAAACAUAAAUAAUGACACCAGCGACAUUGACGGAGCGCAUGAUUUGAGUAAAAUUACAAUGGAACAGUUGGCGAUGCAAGCAAGUAAGAAUGUUCGGAAAAGGGGUAUGGACGACAAAGCACGCGAAAGAGCCCAGCGUGCGAGAAUCCGCCAGCACAAUGAAGAUGUUCUGCGGCAAUCGGCUAUUGCUUCAACACCCCACUCAGCGGCAGCAUAUGACCAGCCUUCUGGAACAUUGGGCCUACGUGGUCGACGUCGAGGUAAGACAAAGGAACCUACACUAUCAUCAAUGCUGAAGAAGAAAGUUACUGCAAAAGAUAGGAUUGCAGGGAGGCUUCUAAAUGGUCGUGCUAGGGACGCAACAAUAAGAGAAGCUUCUAAUACUGAGGAUAUGACCUACAGGGAAGCAUUCCCAAAUCAGUGGCAGUGA
rnacentral:rRNA from 1 species